rnacentral:rRNA from 1 species
CCUACGGGUGGCAGCAGUGAGGAAUAUUGGGCAAUGGACGAGAGUCUGAACCAGCCAAGUAGCGUGAAGGAUGACUGCUCUAUGGGUUGUAAACUUCUUUUAUAUGGGAAUAAAACAGGGUAUGCAUACCCUCUAGUACGUACCAUAUGAAUAAGCAUCGGCUAACCUCGUGCCAGCAGCCGCGGUAAUAUGGAGGAUUCGAGCGUUAUCCGGAUUUAUUGGGGUUAAAGGGAGCUUAGGUGGAGUGCUAAGUCAGUUGUGAAAGUUUGCGGCUCAACCGUGAAAUUGCAGUUGAAACUGGCAGUCUUGAGUACAGUAGAGGUAGACGGAAUUCGUGGUGUAGCGGUGAAAUGCUUAGAUAUCACGAAGAACUCCGAUUGCGAAGGCAGCUCACUGGACUGCAACUGACACUGAUGCUCGAAAGUGUGGGUAUCAAACAGGAUUAGAUACCCUUGUAGUC